AGCGAACGCUGGCGGCAGGCCUAACACAUGCAAGUCGAGCGGGCACCUUCGGGUGUCAGCGGCAGACGGGUGAGUAACACGUGGGAACGUGCCCUUUGGUUCGGGACAACUCCGGGAAACUGGAGCUAAUACCGGAUAAGCCCUUCGGGGAAAGAUUUAUCGCCAAAGGAUCGGCCCGCGGUCUGAUUAGCUAGUUGGUGAGGUAAUGGCUCACCAAGGCGACGAUCAGUAGCUGGUCGAGAGGAUGAUCAGCCACA
rnacentral:rRNA from 1 species